rnacentral:rRNA from 1 species
AAUUUUUUAUAAAAUUUUAUCUUAAUAAAAAGUGAAAUUAGAUUAUUAAAUGUAAAAUUUUAUUUAAUUUUAAUAUAAUGAAGCUUAAAAAAUUGAGGUAUGAAUUAGGAUUAGAUACCCUAGUACACUUUAAAUUAAUUGUAAAAAGACUAGAAUACUAAAAGUUAUAUUCUUUAAAUUUAAAAAAUUUGGCGGUAUUUUAGUCUAGUUAGAGGAACCUGUUUUUUAAACGACAAUACACGCAUUAUCUUACUUAUUCUAGUAAUCAGUUUGUAUACCGUCAUUAUAAGAUAAUUUAAGAGAGAAUAUUAUUAAGAUCAAUAUUAUGUGAGUAUAUUAGAUCAAGGUGCAGCUAAUGAAUAAGAAAAAAUGGGUUACAAUAAAAAUUAUUUAUACGGAUUUAAUAUUUAAAUAUAUUAAUGAAGGCGGAUUUAAUUGUAAAAUAAAAUUAAUAGGUUUU